CAGUCGCCACGGGAAUACGUAGGGUGCAAGCGUUAUCCGGAAUUAUUGGGCGUAAAGAGCUCGUAGGCGGUCUGUCGCGUCUGCUGUGAAAACUGGGGGCUCAACCCCCAGCCUGCAGUGGGUACGGGCAGACUAGAGUGCGGUAGGGGAGAUUGGAAUCCCUGGUGUAGCGGUGGAAUGCGCAGAUAUCAGGAGGAACACCGAUGGCGAAGGCAGAUCUCUGGGCCGUAACUGACGCUGAGGAGCGAGAGCAUGGGGAGCGAACAGGAUUAGAUACCCGCGUAGUCCCUGUCUCUUAUAC
rnacentral:rRNA from 1 species